rfam:Cicer arietinum chromosome Ca3, whole genome shotgun sequence.
GUUAUUUGCUGUGAUGAUAUUGUGUAUCCCAGCUCAUUAUGAGGCCUUUAUGUAGGGCCUGGGAAUUGAAUCUUUUCCACACAUAUAUCUGAGCAUUUC